CUCUCACUGAAUAGUGUCUGAAUACAUAAAUAAAUAGUGUCUGAUCUGAAAAAGAUUGGCUUGCCUUCACCUAUAGGUGAAGUACCACUACAAAGUAACUUUAAGAGUAUCUCAAUAUCUUCCGAAAAAAUAAGAUACGGUUUUCAAAAUUAUCAAUCAUAUAUAAUGGUGAAGAAAAGGCUGUGGGUUAAUGAUAUUUUCAGUUCCAAGUAUACAGAAACAUCAUAAUGGCAGAGUUUGAAUUUUCUCACAAAUAAGAGAACUUAUUUAUAUAUACAUCAAUGAUGGCAUGUUUGCACUAGCUCAAAGAUGUGAAAGCCAGCAUCCAUGCAGUUUU
rnacentral:lncRNA from 1 species